CGCACAAAGCAGACACAACGAAGGAUCACUUCUUGUUCAAGGCAGGAAAGGUUUUGCAGUACGCAGUCUACUGUCCCGCAGCUGCUGCCUCUCUGUUGGACUCCGGUACUGCACCUUACUCACGGGACGUUGAAAAAAAAAAAUGGGUGGGAGACGAACGCAGUAACCACUCCGCCAACGCCACAGUCACCCCCGUCGUGCGGUCCGGAUGUGGCCCGCGGGCCGCCAGUUGGUGAUCACUGACCUCCUUCUGUUCCCCUUCUGUGUUUGUUUUUGUCUGUCUGUCUUCCUGGCUGGGCGUGGCUGACCUAAUUCCGAUUCCCGCCAACUCACCUCCUCAGCUGCUGCUCACCUCUCUGAUUACAACUACUCACCUACACCUGCAUAUAUAAUCGGUUUCUUCAUCCAGUAUGCACCAGUUCGUCGUCUAAUCACAUUGUAUCCAUCAACCUGCUCCUCUGCCUGCCGCGUCCAGCCACCAUCCCUCCAGCUGUGUUCCUCCGUGCUUCCACGCACACCUGCCCCCCAGCCUGCUUGCUCUCGUCAGCUCUGGAUCCCCGGCACACCUCGCCUGUGUUCCGCCGCGCUUCUCCGCACACCUGCUCCAGCCUGCUCGCUCUCGCCAACUCCGGAUCCCCGUCUUCGGUCCUCCGCUCCUCCUCUGAGACACUCCCUGGUCCUGGACUUGUUGGAAUAUAAAUCCCCUCUUCAGUUCAGUCUCAAGCCUGUUUUUGGAUAUUAAACCCUUUUGGCUUCAUAA